CAGAGCAGACGGCUGGGUGGAUGGGCGGGCGGUAGGCGAAGGAGGCCAGGGUGUUGGUUGAACUACACAUGCGCUCUCGCCUUCUGGCAAACCUUACCGGCUGCAUUCUUUUUGAGGUUACGGGAAGGAAGGGCGACUGUACGCAUGCGUGGGCAUUCCCGGCUUCGGCUUUGGUUACCUUGGAGAUGGCGGGGCGCUCUCGCUCUAAGUUUCUGGCUCUGAAGAGAUUAAGGACGGAAAUCUGCUGUAUACAGUGGUAUAUGCCUGUAAUCCCAGCACUGGAGAAGUGGAAGCAGGCCAGCCUGGGCUACCUAAGACCCUGUCUUCAAUCAACCAACAAACAAAAGAACAUGAGACAAAUACUAACCCCACAGGUGUCCUAUCUCUGUCAUCCCUGGCUCUGGAGACGUUGGAGGUGUUUUUGCCCAGGGCCUUUGUGCAGCAUCCUUAGUCAGAUGAGCAGCAUCCGGCUCAGACUUGCCCAGUAAUUCUCUUCAAAUAGAGCAUGAUGAAAUGACUGGACCCAAAUAAGCCUUCAAGGAAAUGGCUGUGACAGAGCCUUCCGAACACUGCCCACAGCCACCCAAGUGCAUGUGAGCAACACAGCUUGUCAACCAAAGACACAAACAGCUAGCUUGAUGGAUGAGAAUGUAAAUAUAGGCUUGAGCAGGUAGGUGGUGGCUGGGUCCUGGCAGUGGCUACCAGCUUUCUCUGGGGCACAAGGUAAACGAUGCUUAAAGAUGCCAGGACAGAGAGACUGUGGAGGAUACAAGAGGCCAGAGUUGAGUGGAAAGCUGGAGAACCACAGGGAUCCAGGCGAUGGAAGAAGUGUCAGGUGUGUAGAAAAUAGGAAACAAUACAAGGUAAGUGUUGGGAGGUUUGAGCUUUAAUCCAUUCGUUUAUUUUUAUUUUUAAUUAUUUAUUUUGAGGCAAGGUCCCGUGUAGCCUCAGGCUGGCCUGGAACUUUCUAUGUUGCCAAAGUUGGCCUUGAACUCUUGAUCCUCCUGCCCACAUCUUCCAAGUGGCAGGAGUUAUUGGCAUGCAUCGCCAUGCCCAGCAAGGUUAAAUCUUUGAGCAUGCAAAUCUGGCAACUGACAGCCCACAGUGACCAAGAACCCACGGUGCCAGGAACCUGGCACCGAUGUAAACAUUUUACAAGGGCUUGUUCAGUGGCUCUCAUACUUGCUAGUUUGCUAACAAAACUGGUUGAAGACCCCAAAUAGCUUGUGUUUUUGCAGAUUUUAUCUGGUGUUAGGAAAGUAAAUAUUUAGUAAUUGGUUCUCCAAGAAAAGUCUUUGUUUUGUGACAGAGUCUCACAUUGCCAGGCUGGCCUUGAAUUUGCUGUAUGGCUGAGUCUCCUAGACCUGCUGCCUUCUUGUCUCUAUUUGUCUAGUGCUAGAAUUAUAGGUGUGUGCCACCAUACAUCCUUUAUAAGUAACAGUCUGUUUUGUUUUUUUUUUUUAAGGUUUAUUUAUUUUCAGUUUUUGUGAAUGAGUUUUGUCUCCAUGGAUGUCUGUGCACCAAGUGUCUGCAGUGCUCAUGAGGCCAGAAAAGGACAUCGGAGCACCUGGAACUGGAGUUGCAGACAGUCAUGAGCCGCCAUACGGAUACUGAACCCUGGGCCCUCUGGAAGAGCAGCCAGUGCUCUUAAGUAAUGAGCCAUUUCUUCAGCCCAUUUAAUUUUAUUUUAUA